UACGUAGGGCGCAAGCGUUGUCCGGAAUUAUUGGGCGUAAAGAGCUCGUAGGCGGUUUGUCGCGUCUGCUGUGAAAUCCCGAGGCUCAACCUCGGGCUUGCAGUGGGUACGGGCAGACUAGAGUGCGGUAGGGGGAGACUGGAAUUCCUGGUGUAGCGGUGAAAUGCGCAGAUAUCAGGAGGAACACCGGUGGGCGAAGGCGGCAUCCCUGGACCAACA
rnacentral:rRNA from 1 species